GCCUCUUUAAUGGUUGCAGCUCGAGCUCCUUCAUUUGCAGAGAAUAGCUUCUGAAAAUACUCGGAGAUAACAUUGAGGAUCCCUGCCUCUUCAUACUCAGGUACUCCAUCCUCCUUUUCUAUCACUGAGAACUUAUUUAUCACCGUUCUACCUCUAGUGAUGGCAUGGAAGUAACCCGAAUUUUUAUCUCCUAAGGCAAGCCAUAACUGUCUGCUUCUCUGCUUCCAAUACUCUUCCUCUGCCUUGUAUGCUAAGAGCAAAUUAGUAUUGAUAGUCGAUAACAGCUCUUGAUUGUGAUCUUGACUAGACAUUGCCUCUUCAAGUUUUUGACGAUUUUCCUCAAUAAGUUUUUGACUACUUUGCUGCUUAGCCCUAGACCACUUAACAAUUUCCAAACGACAUCUGCUAAUUUUUUCCUCCACAAUGUCUGUAUCAUAAAGAUUCCAGGCCUCUUGAACAAGGGCUGUGACUUCAUCGUUGUUUUUUAGACGCCUAUCGUAACGAAACACUCCUUUUUUCUUUUUCUUUGACAGGUCAAAGUGGGUAAGAAGUGGUCUGUGGUCUGACCCUUCAAAGCAAAGGUAAAUGCAUCUACUAGCAGGAUAAUCUUCAGCCCACGCUCCAUUGGACAAUGCACGAUCAAGCCUGCAAUGCACAACAUGAUCAUGUCUCUUUCCACGCCAAGAUAAGAAAUUCCCUGAAUGUCUUAAAUCAUACAAAUCACAUUCCGCCAUAAAUGAUCUAAUGUCCACAAAAGUUCCUUCAUAUCUUGCAGGUCCUCCUUGUUUUUCAGAAGAAUCUAUGAUAUAAUUGAAUUCUCAGUAAGAUACCAGGGUUCACUUCUAUCUUUCCCUAAACUGGUAAGCUGAUCCCAUAUAGCUUUCCGCUUUGAUCUGUCUGGUUCCCCAUAGAUGAAAGUAGCAAAGAAGUGUUUACCCGCCGCCUUAAUCUUUGUGUCAAUAAAGUUGUUGCAGGAAUAAAGGAUUGUCACUUCUACUUCAUGUUUCCAGAGAAGGGCCAGACCACCACCUCCUGGGCUAUGCGGGGGAACAAGGUGAUGUGCAGAAAAAUUCAUCCAGUUUAAAGAGGUGAGGGUUGUCUCAUUGGGGUUCUUGGUUUCCAUAAGGAACAGAAUUUCUGGUGAGAUUGAAGAAUGCAUCUCACGCAGCCGUUGUACUGUUGUGGGGCUCCCCAAUCCACAACAGUUCCAGCUCAGAACUUUUAAGGAAUCUGAUUUGGUAGAUGGUGAAAAUCCACCUUAUCUUUCACUCUUGCAGGUAUAAUAGUUACUCGUGGAGUAGGUUGACUUGAGGAAGGGUUGGAGGCUCCAGGUUGGAGGAGAAGCUUUUGCUUUGUUUUCGUGGUUCUGCUAGGGCCAGCAGAUUCUUGUAUGUGAGCUUCAUUCUUCUCAGGUGUGGAUUUCCUUUUAGGGGAGUUCUGGAUAAGUCCCUUUCUUUUGCUUGAUUUUGCUCCCAGCAAUGGUAAAGCAGCUUUGUUUUGGGGUUUAGCUAAAGGUGGACGUCCUCUUUUCUUUUUUGCAGGAGCAACACAGCUUGUAGUCUGAUCAGCCGGAUGACUUUGUAGGUCUUGGUACUGAGAGAGAUUAUCUUGUGUUGGAAGAUCUUCAGAGGCAAGGUAAUUUUGGUUUGAGAUGAGUGCAGCUUCCAGCAUUAUAGAAGCUGUUUCUGCCAUGAGUCCUUUUUCUUCUCCUUGAAAAACUCUUCGUUUUCUUGCAGCGCUUUCAGUUGGGUGUGCACAACUAACAUAUUGCAGAGUGACGUCUCUAAGCUCUCCCAUGAUUUGGUCAUUAGUAGGGAUGGGAGGAGGAGGUGGUGGAGUAACCUCAUAAGAAUCCAGGUUUCUCUCCAACGGGGGACGUCUUGUUCUCGAAGUUUCAGAGCUAUCAUUUCUAGGACUGAGUCUAUGUGUGGCUCUAACCCUCCAUUGAGGAGUCUGAGAAGAAUCUCUUCUUGGCCCCUCUCUAAUAGGAUCCUGAUAUCUUGAGGUACCCCUUUUGUCUCCUGUCUCAUGGCGACCUAAAUUCCUUCUGUUAGGGUUAAAAGGAUUUCUGUGUCUUCUCUCCUCAUAGGGUCCAGCUCGGCGAGAUAGAUGUUCUCUAGAAGUUGAGGUCUACUCCUCUUACUUUUCCAAGAUCUUGAGAACGACUUUGAUUAAUAGAAGGGUUUCUUGAAGGCGCUCUUGAGGGAGAUGAUUCUCUUAGAGAUCUAGGGGCUAUGAAAUUGUCUCUAGGAGUGUAAUAAUUUCUAGCCAGAUCCUUGGAUGCCUCUUCACUUCUGGAAGAUCUGAACUUUGUAGUGUCCUCAUUUUCUGAAACCAGAUCUGGACAGAAUUUCUUUUCAUGAGUAAGUCUUAGGCAAUGUGAGCAGUAAUUUUUGAGAUUCUUGUAGACUAACGAGAUCAGAGCUUCGCUGCCAUCAGGAAAGUCUACCAUGGUGUCAAGGACUAGCGAUUUCAGGCCAUCAACAAAGACCUUUAGCUUUGCUGAAGAAUUGGUUAUUUCAAAAUCCAGAAUUUCUCCCAAGUCUACGCCAAUAGCUUUGAGCAUAUCCUGGUGCCAGUAAUGUUUUGGGAGUCCUUGGAUAUCAAUCCAAAAGGGGAUCUUAGAGGUAAAGGUGUCAGAGAUUGUAGGUUCCCACUUCUGAAGGAUGACCAUCCAUUGAUCAUAGUGGUAAGGCUUAUUGUCUAGUACUUUUUGCAUGUCUUCUUCAAAGUCAAAACAAAACUGGAAGCAGCCUCUUCCCAGAUCUGAACCCGUAGCUUUUCCUUUCAGAUUCCACCGGUUUGAGAGGAAAGGAAAGAGAGACCAUAAUCGUUGGAUAGAUGGGUUUGUGAGGCGAUCCAUUAGAGUUAGGGAAUUAGCUUCGAUGAGGUCUGAAGUGUCCAGUUCUGGUGCACGAAUUCUUCUUCGAAUUGGUGGGGAUAGUUCUCUCUCUAUUCAUUUACCUUUGAGAUGGUAGGGGAUUCUUGAACUCAUGAUUACAGAGGGCGUAAGGUUUGAAGCGGAGAGGCAUCAGGGAUAAAGUAGAGAUUCAAACAGUUUCAGGGUUUCAAACAGGAUAACAGGGAUACACAUGAUUAAAAGUUUGAAA
rnacentral:lncRNA from 1 species